rnacentral:lncRNA from 1 species
CGCUGGGACUCCAGCUCUCCACUGCAGAUCUUGAGGUUACCCCUCCUCUUCUUUCAGAUAAGUCACCAACCAAGCAAACGAAUAUAAUCAAACCAGCGGAGUGGGUGUGGCUCUUACUCUCAUACCUCAAAUGACUUCAGUGGAGUCAAGUUGGAGAAGGAUUGUAGAGCCAUCGAGACUGACUCACAUGUCUUGUUGUUCAAGAGGCCUACUGGCAAGAAUGCCACCUCCUACUUCCUCUAUCCGGACCCUCAAUCCUGCCUGUCUGUUUCGGUGACUGUCUUGCUUCACUAGUCAAAGCAGUACCCACCUCAGAAUCAGUCACGCUUUCUUCCCUCUUCAAAUCCGCAUCAGGACAGCUUCAAGUCUAAGAUCCAGGAUAAGAACCAGAGUCACCGCCCAGGCCCUUCUCCUUGUAACUGUUGUUGAACAGUUUCUGUGGGUUUGGGGUUCCCCCUCCCCCACCAUGCUAAGUCCACCUUCCU